UGGCUGCAGACUCCAUCAAAGCCUAGAAAUCGUUUUGCUUUUUUGGGCAUCCUCCUUUUUCUCCCUGCUCCUUGCUUUCCCCAACCUAGAAUCCUCAUCCUUUCCCCGAAUGAGAAAUUUGAAAUCCACAACCCAAAACUCACUCAUAGUGGCCCCUGCCUUGCCUCAUUCCUCAUAUCCUGAUGGUUCAUUCUCUCCAUUCGAUUCGAUUUUGGGCAUAAUAGUGGGAGUUGAGUAAUGGAGUUGCUGCCAUGCAAUGGAGUAUAGCAGGAGGCAGAGGACCUUUCACUCAAUCUAAUGGAUGGAGCUAGAACACCAGGUCUUGAUCUACAAAUACAUCCCAAUGUGCCCAUUUCGCCCACUCCGCUCAUCCCAAUCAAGAAGGCCCUUAAUUCUGCAUGAUUUUUGACAUUUUCGAACAAAAUUCUCAGGCCCAAUUCAUGUAAUUUCUUCAUUUUACUCAAAGGAAAAUGAUUUUCACACACUUUUUUUUUCUUAUGCACGUUUUUGCGUAUUUUGUUGCUUGAUUUUAUUUAAUUCAAAAGCUAGAAAUAAAUCUAAAUUUCUCAUGCCUUCAUUCUAAGUAUCUUUCGAUUUUCGUGGGGUUGUGUAUGUGCAGUGGGAUGAUUCUCCAACACCACUGAUCCUGAGCAGAACAUGUUCAUUGUGAAUUACAAGGAUUUCAUAGGUAAUGUAUAGAUUAGGGAUACACUUGAACCUAGAUAAGCAUGAAAAGCAUACGGUUUUGCUUGACCCAUCUAAUCACAGAAUUGUGUACCAUCAAUUCAAACGUUGUAGAACCAGUUUAAUGAAGUUGUAGUUGGUUGUGUG